UACGAAGGGUGCAAGCGUUACUCGGAAUUACUGGGCGUAAAGCGUGCGUAGGUGGUGCGUUAAGUCUGUCGUGAAAGCCCCCGGCUCAACUGGGGAGGGUCACGCGAUACUGAUCGACUCGAAGGCAGGAGAGGGUAGUGGAAUUCCCGGUGUAGUGGUGAAAUGCGUAGAUAUCGGGAGGAACACCAGUGGCGAAGGCGACUACCUGGCCUGUUCUUGACGCUGAGGCGCGAAAGCUAGGGGAGCAAACAGG
rnacentral:rRNA from 1 species